rnacentral:rRNA from 1 species
UACGUAGGGGGCAAGCGUUAUCCGGAUCUACUGGGUGUAAAGGGAGCGUAGACGGCUGUGCAAGUCUGGAGUGAAAACCCGGGGCUCAACCCCGGGAUUGCUUUGGAAACUGUGUAGCUGGAGUACCGGAGAGGCAAGUGGAAUUCCUAGUGUAGCGGUGAAAUGCGUAGAUAUUAGGAGGAACACCAGUGGCGAAGGCGGCUUGCUGGACGGUAACUGACGUUGAGGCUCGAAAGCGUGGGGAGCAAACAGG